UUUGCAUUGGUUUUAGCAUGAAAACAGCAUCAACCAAUGAGAAAAAAAAGAAAGCGAAAGUUCAUAAGUCAACCCCACAGCCGUAUCAAAUUCUUGUGUCUUCUUCCCUAAAAAGAAGCCAUGGAUUUUGUUAGCUGCAGCUCCACAUCGAUGAGAACCUGUAGAUACGAUGUGUUCAUUAGUUUUAGAGGUCCCGAAACCCGCAAUACUUUUGUUGAUCAUCUUUACAACCACCUCGUCAAGAAAGGCAUUUUUGCCUUCAAGGAUGACCAAAGGCUUGAGAAAGGAGAACCCAUUUCAUUGCAGCUUCUACAAGCGAUUAAAGAUUCAAGGGUUUCCGUCGUCGUCUUCUCAAGAGAUUACGCUUCCUCAACAUGGUGUUUGGAUGAACUGGCUGCUAUUGCUGAAUGCCAUGAAGAAUUAAAACAAACUGUUUUCCCUGUUUUUUAUGAUGUUGAUCCAUCUCAUGUUCGAAAACAGGAUGGGGUGUACCAUGAUGCCUUUGUUUUACACACCCAGAAAUUCAAAUAUGACCCGGACAAGGUUGAUCGGUGGAAGAGAGCUAUGAGGACUUUGGCUGGAUCAGCUGGUUGGGAUGUCAGGAAUAAGCCGGAGUUUGCAGAGAUUGAAAAAAUUGUUCAAGCAGUGAUAAAAACACUGGGUCAUAAAUUCUCAACAUUUACUAAUGGUCUAGUUGGGAUACAACCUCACAUUGAAGAAAUAGAAAAUCUUUUAAAAUUGAGCUCAGAGGAGGAGGAUGUUUUUCGAGUUUUAGGAAUUUGGGGGAUGGGUGGAAUAGGAAAGACAACUCAUGCAACCGUCUUGUUUGACAGAAUCUCUCAUCAUUUUGAUGCUCGAUGUUUCAUUGAGGAUGUAAACAAAAUUUACAGAGAUGGUGGUGCUGCUGCGAUACAUAAACAAAUUCUCAGUCAAACUUUAGACGAAAAUAAUCUGGACAGAUACAGUAACUAUGAAAUAUCUGGGAUUAUAAGAAAUAGGCUACACUGCAAUAUUAAAGUCCUUCUAGUUUUUGAUAAUGUUGAUCAAUUAGAGCAAAUGCAGGAAUCAGCUAUAAAUCCUAAAUUCCUUGGCAAAGGAAGUAGAAUAAUUAUAACCACAAGGGAUGAGCAUAUACUAAGAGUAUAUGGUGCAGAUAAAGUGUAUCACGUUCCGCUGUUGAGUAGUUAUGAUGCUAGUGAACUAUUUUGUAGAACAGCCUUCAAAAUGGAGAAACAAAGUAGCAGCAGCAGCAGCAGCAGCAGCAGCAGCAGCAGCAGCAAUUAUGAUGAGUUGAUUCCAGAGGUACUAAAAUAUGCUCAAGGUCUUCCAUUAGCAAUUAGAGUAGUGGCUUCUUUCUUGUGUGCCAGAGAUGCUACCCAAUGGAGAGAUGCCUUGGAUAGAUUGCAGAAUAAUCCAGACAAUAAAAUUGUGGAUGUGCUACAAAUAAGUGUUGAUGGACUACAACAUGAGGAGAAGGAAAUAUUUCUGCAUAUUGCCUGUUUCUUUAAAGGGGAAAGGGAGGAUUAUGUAAAGCGUAUUCUAUAUGCUUGUGGAUUACAUGCUCACAUUGGAAUUCAAAGAAUCCUUGAGAAAUCACUUAUAACUAUUAGAAACCAGGAAAUUCAUAUGCAUGAAAUGUUACAAGAACUAGGGAAGAAAAUUGUCCGACACCAAUUUCCUGCAGAUCCAGGAUUGUGGACUAGAAUAUGGCAAUUCCGGGAUUUCUAUCAAGUCUUGAACACAGAAGCGGGAACAAACAAUGUUAAAGCCGUAGUUCUUGAUCAAAAAGAGAACAUCUCCAAUUGCAGGGCUGAAGGAUUGUCAAAUAUGAGAAACCUUAAUUUGCUCAUAUUAUAUGAUGGGAAAUUUUCAGGAAGCCUUAAUUUUCUUCCUAACACCCUGCGAUAUCUUUUGUGGCAUGGAUACCCUUUCCCAUCUUUGCCAUCAAAUUUUGAGCCAUCUUAUCUUGUGGAAUUGAAUAUCCCAGAUAGUAGCAUUGAACGACUAUGGGAAGGCCACAAGGAUCUCCCCUAUUUGAAAAGAAUGGAUCUGAGCAACUCUAAAUAUCUGCUCGAGACACCACAAUUUUUUCAGACUCCAAAUCUUGAGCGGCUAGAUCUUACAGGAUGCGCAAAAUUAUUGCAAGUCCAUCCAUCAAUUGGACUUCUUACAAAACUUGCUUUCUUGAGUUUGCAAAACUGUAGCAGUUUGGUCAGCCUCAGUUUCAGCAAUAAAUCAAAAUUAAGUUCUCUAAAAGUUCUGCGCCUCUCUGGUUGUAUGAAUCUUGAAAACUCACCAGAUUUUACAAGGGCAAAAAAUCUUGAGUACCUUGACAUGGAUCGAUGUACAAGUUUACACACGGUUCAUGAAUCCAUUGGUGCUCUUGCAAAGCUUAUAUUCUUGAGUUUGAGGGAUUGCACUAAUCUUGUCAGUAUGCCCAACAGUCUUAAUAACAUGACAUCUCUUAUAACUCUAGAGUUAUGCAAGUGUUCAAAAUUCAUGAAUCUGCCGUUGACAGAGACUUCCAAUCAUUCUUCCUAUCUGAAAUCUUUGAUUUUUCUAGAUUUAAGCUUUUGUAAUCUACGUGAAUUACCAGAUGCUCUUGGAGACUUGUGGAUUUUAGAAAGAUUAAAUCUAGAAGGAAACAACUUUGUUUCACUACCUUCUACCAUGAAGAAGCUUUACAGUCUAUCAUACUUAAACAUGGGUCAUUGUCAUGAGCUUCAAUAUUUGCCUAAGCUCCCAUUAAUAAGUGCUUCAUCAGUGGGGAGAUAUUUUAAAACAGCAUCUGAAUCCCGUGAUCAUAGGUCUGGAUUAUAUAUUUUUGACUGCCCUAAUGUGUUCGAUGAUUUGUCCGUAGACAAAUCUCUUGCAUAUUGCAACUACUACACAUUUAAAUGGCUAAGAAGAAUGGUUAAGGAACCUCUUCACUUCAGGUGUGGACUUGACAUUGUUAUUCCCUCACGGAUUCAUAUUAUUCCCGAAUGGUUCGAUCAUCAAUUUGAUGGGGGUGCAAUAAUAAGGAUAGAGCACUUUGAUGUGAGUGAAAGUUGGAUUGGAUUUGCCUUUUGUGUUGCAUUUGAGGUAAACAAUGACACUGCAACUUUUGGUUCCCCACAUCAUUUAUUUUCUACGCCACUGCCACAUCCAUUUUAUCUUUCUUUUGAAAAUGAACACACGGAAGAACGCUUCGAUUUUCCAUUAAGUUUGGAACUAGACAAGAUUGGUGGCUCAAAACAUCUUUGGGUAAUCUACAUUACUAGGAAGCACUGCCAUUUUGCAAAAACAGGAGCUUGUGUCGCAUUUAAAGCUUGCCCGGGUUUGAUAAUAAAGAAGUGGGGAUUGCGCAUGCUCCAGCAAGAUAUGAAAUAUCUUUCAUUAUUUAGUGCAAAUAGUAUUGUCAUUGAUAAUGUAGAAGAAAGCAACAUCAAUUUUGAAGGGCCUAAAAUCCAACUUCCCUUUAAUUGGUUAGUUUCAGACGAAGAUGAAGUUGAGAAUAAUGAAGCCACGGGGAAAGAAAAUUACCUAUCUAAUUUGGGCCUUUAGAAAGGCCAAACAUGAUGAAAGUGCGCAAUAUCUUCCCCGCACUUCUUCCCUCCACGUACCAUAUGUUUCUCUCCCAUCAUCCCUUUCUCUCUUCCUCUACAUCAUCUUCCUCAACAUCAAGGUCCACCGAGCUUGCUAAACAUCAACAUUGCUCUCUUCUUCAUGUUCCAGCAGAAAUGGUGAAAACAAGAGGUGGUUCAUCAUGUCCUCCUCCACCGAACGCAUCCACUCGUAGAGCGCGUGCAAUGGCUGCUAUUCAGCGCCACCGCAGGUGGACCUAUUGUAGGAAGAGCAGCUAAUGCCACCUGUGUCUUUCUUGGGAGGGCCUUAUGACCUCUUAGUGUUACGUAACUAUUCUGAUCACAUUGCAGUUGUCAUAUGGCAUUUUGUGCUAGGAGCACGAGGACCCCUAUAUACAGUCGAUGGUUGAGAGAUCUAAUUCUAGACUUGCCCCACUGAUGGACUGCGGUGCCUCCAUGGUGGACAAGGGGAUCUUGUCUGCAUUUUUUGAGAGGUGACAUCCAGAGACGUCAUUGUUUCACAUGUCAUUCGGUGAGAUGACGAUCACACUAGAUGACGUGUCAUCUAUUCUACAAAUCCCCAUCAUUGGAGUGUUUUUGACAUUGCCGGGAUCACUCGAGGGAUGGUCAUGGAGAGUUUGGUUGGGUACUUAGGUGUCUCCCCCACGCAAGCUUUGGUUGAGAUGAACCAUACUGUGGUUAGUUUAUUUGUGCAUCCCCUCAUAUUUGAAUAUUUCAUAUUCCAAUUUUUUGAGGGUAAGAUCGUGCAGCAGCAACGGCGGGCUGAUAUAGCUACGGACCGACUCGCUCUGGUGCGCCUCCGAAGGGCAUAAUUGUGUGGAUGGAAAUCCAAAACAUAUAGGUCACCAUAGAGAAAAAGAGUAUGCAAGGUCAUUUGGUAUAGCACUACUCCUAUAACCCCACUUAGCAGAUACAUUAGACUCUUACAUACUCAAUUUAUCAAAAUUUGAUUUUUACCAA